GUGAGCGGGCGGAGCGGCGGGAGCUGCGCGAGGCGCGGCGUGCACCGCCCGGCCCGGCCCUCCCUGCGCCGCCUGCCUGCCUGCAGCCAGCGGUGCCGGGCACGGAGAGCGGGCCGACACCGCACCUCCGGCGAGAGCCGCUCCGCCGCCCCCCGCCCCGACCGCACCACCCCCCCUCCCCACCCCUCGCUCGCUGCCGUUCUCCUCCCUCUUUCCUAUCUCUCACUCUCUCUCUCCGCCGGCCUCAUCGGAGAGAGUUGUAGCUCCUUCGGGGCCUGUGUGGACUAGGGGCACAACCCGGCGCCUGACUGGCAGGAGGGAAAGCGGAGACUCCUUCAGGUUUCCAAAGAGGUCCGAGUGGACUGCAUUAGGAAAACUUGAAGAGUCUUUCACUUUUCAUCCUCCAGUCACUGACUGUGCUAUAAGGAUACUGUGGUGAGGUGGUGGGAGUGAAAAACAUCUGCUUUCCUGAUCUCUUAUAGUCUAACAUAGAAUUUGAUGGACAGAAUGUUGGUACCAGCUAUGGAAGAGCUGUUCAGCCUCAACUCCAAAACUCUAUCCUGAGACACAACUACAGGAUGUGCCUUGGAGAAGUAUCUCAGGAUAGAGAAAUUCUGAAUGAAUUCCAAACCUCUGAGCUGAGGCUUUUAUGACUGAGCACAACAGCAAAGGAAGCUGAAAAGUCCUUGGGUUUGUAUAAACUACAUUCAGCAAUAGCUAGAAUAUCUACUUUAAUGCUGCUAUUUUCAAGAAAAGUCCAAAGCAGAGUGCUAUACUAGAUAUUAUGAAGAAAUUCUAUCCCAGACUAUAACAGA
ensembl:lncRNA